AUGAGAGUUUGAUCCUGGCUCAGGAUGAACGCUAGCGGUAUGCUUAACACAUGCAAGUCGUACGAGAGUCUUUGACUCUAGUGGCGGACGGGUGAGUAACGCGUGAGAAUCUACCCCUAGGUGGGAAAUAACAGCAGGAAACCGCUGCUAAUGUCCCAUAUACCUUUUGGUGAAAAGAGUAAUCUGCCUAAGGAGGAGCUCGCGUCUGAUUAGCUAGUUGGUAGGGUAAAGGCCUACCAAGGCGAUGAUCAGUAGCUGGUUUGAGAGGAUGAUCAGCCACACUGGGACUGAGACACGGCCCAGACUCCUACGGGAGGCAGCAGUGGGGAAUAUUGGACAAUGGGGGCAACCCUGAUCCAGCCAUGCCGCGUGUGUGAAGAAGG
rnacentral:rRNA from 12 species